AAUGUUCAGUAUUGUUUGGACAUUCGGUGACAAUUGGUGCAAGUGUGGAUUCGGAAAUCGAGCAUCAUAACAAUUGCCGCCAAAGAGAUAAUUAAAUUUGUCGAUAGCCGUAUUCGUUCAAAUCACGGAUAAAGACUCGAUUUCUACGAAGCGUUGUGAGUAUGCAGUUUUGUAGCCCAUUCGAUUGAAAGGGAAAACUUUAAGUGACUAGGACUUACUUUGUAUGGAAGAAAACGCGCGAACAAAAAAUUGUCAAAAAUCAACGAUGUUAUGUCUUUUUAUUCUAAAAACAAAAUUGUAUGUUCGGAUUCGAUGCUUUAUAAUUGUCCCGAUUUUCGCCCUUACAAAUCUGGUAACCGUAUCUUGGUUUCGCGGUUAUAUUUACUGACUGAAAGUAAUUCCGAUAACUCAAGGCGCCUCCCAUAAAAAUUGGAAUUUCCAUAAUACAUACAUAUCUCUGGAAGUAUUUGUGGGAGAGAACUGGAACUUGAUAUUUGGGAUGGAGUACUCAAGCUUAGUUUGGAGAUACAUAUGUAUGUAUGUAUGUGAAACCAAUGUCAUUGGAGAAAAGGGAGAGGUAUUGGGACAAGGUAACGUGGCAACUCCCAUGCAAAUUUACUUUUUUGUGAUUCAUAUCUCUGGAGAUGUUUAUUGCAGAGAACUGGAACUUGGCGCCGAGAUGUGUAUACAAAAUUAAUUCCAUUCUCGUGGAGAAAAAUUUGGGGUUAUUCGCAAAGGGGGCGUGGUACCUCCCGUACAAAUUUGCUAUUUUAUACUGCAUAUUAUUUACUAUUUUAUACUGCAUAUCUCUAGAGGUGUUUAUGGUGGAGUACUGUGACUUGGUACUGGGAUAUAUAAAAUCAAUUCCAUACUCAUGGAAGCAAACAGGGCUAUAAGAAAAGGGGCGUGGCACUUUCCGU